rnacentral:rRNA from 1 species
AGGGAAUCUUCCGCAAUGGACGAAAGUCUGACGGAGCAACGCCGCGUGAGUGAAGAAGGCCUUCGGGUCGUAAAACUCUGUUGCCGGGGAAGAACAAGUGCCGUUCGAACAGGGCGGUGCCUUGACGGUACCCGGCCAGAAAGCCACGGCUAACUACGUGCCAGCAGCCGCGGUAAUACGUAGGUGGCAAGCGUUGUCCGGAAUUAUUGGGCGUAAAGCGCGCGCAGGCGGCUUCUUAAGUCUGAUGUGAAAUCUUGGGGCUCAACCGCAAACGGGCAUUGGAAACUGGGAGGCUUGAGUGCAGAAGAGGAGAGUGGAAUUCCACGUGUAGCGGUGAAAUGCGUAGAGAUGUGGAGGAACACCAGUGGCGAAGGCGACUCUCUGGGCUGUAACUGACGCUGAGGCGCGAAAGCGUGGGGAGCAAAC